rnacentral:lncRNA from 1 species
AAAAAAGAGAAUUAUUCCUGAAUUAUCCCUCUGGAAGAGAAUUGUUUCGGAAUGUUUUCUGUUUCUAUAAUAUAAUACCACAGAUGAGUAAAUUAUAAACAACAGAAGUUUAUUUGACUCAUGGUUCUGAAGGCUAGGUAAUCCAAGAUCAAGGUGCUGCAUGUGGUAAAGGCUUUCUUGUUGUUUCAUAACAUGGUGGAAGGGUAGAAGGGCAAGAGACUGCAUAUAUGAAAGAGCUCACUUUUAUAACAGAGACUCCUGUGCUAACAAACCCAUUCCCACAAUAAUGGCAUUAAUCCAUUCAUGAAGGUAGAUAAAAUCACCUCUCUUAGUUGAUAUAAUCACCUCUCAUAGGCCCCACCUCCAAACACUCGGACCACCAAGUUUCCAAAACAUGAACUUUUGGAGGUCAUAUCCAAACCAUAGCAUAAAGCCCCUGAGUCCUAAAAUUUAUGUUCUUACAAUGCAAAAUACAUUUAUUCUAUCCCAAUAGCUCCAAAAGUCUUGACUCAUUCUAGCAUCAACUCAAAAGUCCAAAGUCCAGAGUCUCAGCUAAGUCAGAUGUUAGUGAGACUAAACAUUUCAUUCUGAAGUGAAUUCUCUUCAGCAGUGAGCCUGUGAAAUUGAAACAGUUAUCUGCUUCCACAGUACAAUGGUGGGACCGGCACAGGAUGGAAAUUCUCAUUUUAAAAAGGAGACAUAGGUGGAUGAAGCCAUGCUCCCAUGGCUCUUGCAUUCUGCAUGCCUGCAGACUCAAUACCAUGUGGACACCACCGAGGCUUAUCACUUGUACCUUCUGAAGCGGUGGCCAGAAAGGUAAGGGAGCUUGCUUGAACUAUGGCUGGGUAGUCUGAGGAGCACUGCAUUGGAAUAUAGGGAGCAGAGUUUCAAGGCAGCUCUGGGCAGGUAGUGUGCAGAGGGCUGCUAAAGCCCAUCCACAAAAACAAUUCUGCCCUCCUAGAACUCUUGGCCUGUGAUGAGAGGGGCAGCUUUAAAGAUUUUUGAAAUGCCUUUGGAGUCUUUUCUCCCAUUGUCUUGAUGAAUACCCUCUGGCUCCUUUCUGUCCAUAAUAAUGUCUUUAGAAUAUGGUUCCUUGGCCACACUCAAAUAGUUUUUUUCACUCUACAUGGCCAGGCUGCAAAUUUUCCAAAUUAUUCUACUCUGUUUUCUCUUGUAUCUUACUAUAAAUAAUUAAAAGUAACCAUGCAGCAAUCUGAGUACAUUGCUGCUUAGACACUUCUUUUGCCAGAUAUCCUAGUUUGUCAGUCUUAAAUUCUGCCUUCCAUUAAGCUCUCAGGCAUGGGCACAUUUUAUUUGUUACUUUAUAACAAGGAUCAUCCUUACUCCAAUUUCUAAUACCUUGUUCUCCAGUUCCAUCUGAGACCUCAUUGGAAUGGCCUCUAAUCAUAUUUCAACCAGCAUUCUGAUCACAACCACUUCAGUAAUCUCUAAAAAGUUCCAGACUUUCCCUAGUCUGCUCUUCCUCAGAACUUUCACCAGAAUUGUCCUCAAUGCUUUGUUUAUGGCAAUCUAGGCUUUUUCUAGCCUGCUUCCCCAAAUUCUUCCAGCCUCUACCCAUUACCCAGGACUAAAGCUGCUUUCUCAUUUUCAGGUAUUUAUUAUGGCAACAAUCCCACUUCUCAGCACUAAUUUUCUGUUUUAGUAAACUUUCUAAUGCUGUAGCAAAAUACCACAGACUGAGUAAAUUAUAACCAAUAGAAAUUUAUUUGGAUAACAACUCUGGAGGGAGGGAAGUCCAAAAUCAAGGGGCUGCAUCUGGUGAGGGUUUUCUUGCUGUGUUAUAACACGGUGAAAGAGAAGCAGGGCAAGAGAAUAUGUGUGAAAGAGAGCUCAUUUUUAUAAAAAGAGCCACUCCAGAAUAAUUAGCCCACUCCCACAAUAACAGAACUAAUCCAUUUAUAAACAUGUAGGUCCCAUCACCAAAUAACUUCCUAAAGGUCCCAGUUCCCAACACUCUUACACUAGGAACAAAGUCUCCGACACAUUAAUUUUGGGAAGGACAUAUUCUAACCUUAGAAGAAGUUAUUUUUUAAACAUAGAAUAAUCAUAUUUGAAUAGUUUUUUGCAGAGUAAAAUAUGAAGCAUUAUAAGAAUUCAAAGGCAAAAUAAAUUAUUGUGGAUGGCAGGAAUCAGAGGAUGCAGUGAAAAACAGAGAUUAUGAACUCUGCCUUUAAAAAUAGGUAGGAUGUUAAAAAGCAGAGAAAAAAGAUUUAAAGAUAAAGUUCAAAUUAAAUUAUUUUCAAGAAACUAAGAACUAAA